GCUGGGCAUGAUGGCUCAUGUCUGUAAUCCUAAUACUUUGGGAGGCUGAGGCAGGAGGAUCCCUUGAACCCAGGAGUUUGAGAUCAGCCUGGGCAACACAGGGAGACCCUGUCUCUA
rfam:Homo sapiens chromosome 17, GRCh38 reference primary assembly.